GACGAACGCUGGCGGCGUGCUUAACACAUGCAAGUCGAACGGUGACCUCGAGAGCUUGCUCUCGGGUGAUCAGUGGCGAACGGGUGAGUAACACGUGAGUAACCUGCCCCAGACUCUGGAAUAACAAUUGGAAACAGUUGCUAAUACCGGAUACGACACGAACGGGCAUCCGUAUCGUGUGGAAAGUUUUUCGGUCUGGGAUGGACUCGCGGCCUAUCAGCUUGUUGGUGAGGUAAUGGCUCACCAAGGCGACGACGGGUAGCCGGCCUGAGAGGGCGACCGGCCACACUGGGACUGAGACACGGCCCAGACUCCUACGGGAGGCAGCAGUGGGGAAUAUUGCACAAUGGGCGAAAGCCUGAUGCAGCGACGCCGCGUGAGGGAUGAAGGCCUUCGGGUUGUAAACCUCUUUCAGUAGGGAAGAAGCGAAAGUGACGGUACCUACAGAAGAAGCACCGGCUAACUACGUGCCAGCAGCCGCGGUAACAC
rnacentral:rRNA from 1 species